rnacentral:rRNA from 1 species
UACGUAGGGGGCUAGCGUUAUCCGGAUUUACUGGGCGUAAAGGGUGCGUAGGUGGUUUCUUAAGUCAGAGGUGAAAGGCUACGGCUCAACCGUAGUAAGCCUUUGAAACUGGGAAACUUGAGUGCAGGAGAGGAGAGUGGAAUUCCUAGUGUAGCGGUGAAAUGCGUAGAUAUUAGGAGGAACACCAGUUGCGAAGGCGGCUCUCUGGACUGUAACUGACACUGAGGCACGAAAGCGUGGGGAGCAAACAGGAUUAGAUACCCUGGUAGUCCCUGAG